rnacentral:tRNA from 1 species
AGUUCUUUAGUAUAAGUAAGUAUGUUUGAUUUCCAAUCAAGGGGUGUUAAAAGAAUU